rnacentral:rRNA from 1 species
CGGCUCACCUUAUCCUGGGGCUGGAGAAGGUCCCAAGGGUUUGGCUGUUCGCCAAUUAAAAAGGUACGCGAGCUGGGUUUAGACCGUUUAGGAGUUGAAAUAGUUCGACUUUUAAACAGUCUAAACCCGAGGUUAAACAAGACAUCAUUGAACGGCGGCGUUUUGUAGAAAUACAGAAACGGCAAGUUGGCUAUAUGCUGGAAACUCAUAGAAUGAGCAAUCAGCAGGGAAGUCGUAAUUGACCCCUCAGAGACUAUACGCCAACUACCGAAGUACAUGUUUAUAUGUAAUCGGUAAAGAUAUAGUCCGUAUUACAAUCUGAUAUGCGUGAGACAGGUUGGUCUUUAUCUACUGUAGGCGUGAAGUGUUUGAGAGGAUUUGAUCGUAGUACGAGAGGACCCGAUUGAGCGAACCUCUGGUCUAUCAGCUUUGACACCAGUUGAAGUGCUGAGUAGCUAAGUUCGUGUUGGAUAAGCGCUGAAAGCAUCUAAGCGCGAAGCCGCACUCAAGAUUAGACACAGGUCUCCCGGAAGACUACCGGGUUGAUAGGCUCUAGGUGUAAGCACGGCAACGUGUUCAGCCAAGGAGUACUAAUAGACCGCUU